UCUGUGUGAGAAAACCACAAAUUUUCAAGCAUUUAAAAUACAGUUUCUGGGUGUCCCUUUGGUCCGAGAACUCUGGAAAAUUCAAAUUUUCAAAGCAGAUGAAACAUCAGCCUUAGAGGCUUCUCUGAGACAGAGCUGUUUCCUCUAACUCACUGAAGACAUUGCUUCAGGGAGAAAAAAUAUAUUUGUUCUCCAUGGCACUUCAUUAUUUGGCUUCCUUGAAAGACCCAUGUAAGGAGAUGGUUGCUUCUGACAGCAAUAGCAGUUGCUGCAGUCCAGAUGAAGAAUCUGACUGUGGUUCUAGGAUAUGUGACACAAACAGUAGCAUGGAUAACACUGCUGUUACAUGGACCAACAGUGGCAGCUCCCUAUCUUUAGAUUUAUUUCACAAGAGUGAACACAAACAAGAGAAGUGUACAAAUGCAGCCAUGUGCCCAAGAAUGGCACAGACUGACAAAGGCCUGGGCUGCCUGAUCAUCCAGGGGUAGGAGGCAGUGAGCUGAAGGAUCCAUUGCAAAGCACAUCCAGAAAUGGAUGACCUUUAUUCUUUCUUACUCAUGAGAAAGAUCUGUCCAAGUCCGUGAGUGGUUUGAUUGAAUGAGAGCAGUGAAACCAGUCCAUGGUGAAAGAUUUUUAAAAAGAGAG
rnacentral:lncRNA from 13 species